CCUACGGGAGGCAGCAGUGAGGAAUAUUGGUCAAUGGCCGGAACGCUGAACCAGCCAUGCCGCGUGAAGGUCAGUGCCCUUUGGGCGUUAAACUUCUUUUGUGCGGGAGCAAUAAUGGUCACGUGUGGCCAUACGAGAGUACCGUCCGAAUACGCAUCGGCUAACUCCGUUCCAGCAGCCGCGGUAAUACGGGGGAGGCAAGCGUUAUCCGGCUUUUUUGGGUUUAAAGGGUGCGUAGGCUGGGUGCUAAGUCAGCGUGGUAAUGCCCCCGCUCAACGGGGUGAAGUGCCAUUGAUACUGCCUUGCUGGAAUGCGGAUGCGGUAGGAGGAAUGGGUGGUGUAGGGGUGAAAUGCAUAGAGAUCA
rnacentral:rRNA from 1 species